CACGUAGGGGGCGAGCGUUGUCCGGAUUUAUUGGGCGUAAAGAGCUCGUAGGCGGCUUGGUAAGUCGAGUGUGAAAUCCCCGGGCUCAACCCGGGGCGGCCAUUCGAUACUGCCAUGGCUAGAGUCCGGUAGGGGAGCGUGGAAUUCCUGGUGUAGCGGUGAAAUGCGCAGAUAUCAGGAGGAACACCAGCGGCGAAGGCGGCGCUCUGGGCCGGAACUGACGCUGAGGAGCGAAAGCGUGGGGAGCAAACAGG
rnacentral:rRNA from 1 species